rnacentral:rRNA from 1 species
AUUGAACGCUGGCGGCAGGCUUAACACAUGCAAGUCGAGCGGGGUGAUGGUGCUCGCACUAUCACUUAGCGGCGGACGGGUGAGUAAUGCUUAGGAAUCUGCCUAUUAGUGGGGGACAACAUCUCGAAAGGGAUGCUAAUACCGCAUACGUCCUACGGGAGAAAGCAGGGGAUCUUUAUGACCUUGCGCUAAUAGAUGAGCCUAAGUCGGAUUAGCUAGUUGGUGGGUAAAGGCCUACCAAGGCGACGAUCUGUAGCGGGUCUGAGAGGAUGAUCCGCCACACUGGGACUGAGACACGGCCCAGACUCCUACGGGAGGCAGCAGUGGGGAAUAUUGGACAAUGGGGGGAACCCUGAUCCAGCCAUGCCGCGUGUGUGAAGAAGGCCUUAUGGUUGUAAAGCACUUUAAGCGAGGAGGAGGCUCUUUUGGUUAAUACCCAGAAUGAGUGGACGUUACUCGCAGAAUAAGCACCGGCUAACUCUGUGCCAGCCGCCGCCGUAACAC